GUGCCCACUGUGGCAGCACAUAUAUUAAAAUUGGAACAAUAUAGACUAGUGUGGCCCCUGUGCAAGAAUUACAUGCAAAUUUAUGAAGCAUUCCAUAUUUUU
rnacentral:snRNA from 1 species